rnacentral:rRNA from 1 species
UACAGAGGGUGCAAGCGUUAAUCGGAAUUACUGGGCGUAAAGUGUGCGCAGGCGGCCGCGCAAGUCGAGUGUGAAAGCCCCGAGCUUAACUUGGGAAUUGCGCUCGAAACUACGUGGCUGGAGUGUGGCAGAGGAAGGUGGAAUUCCACGUGUAGCGGUGAAAUGCGUAGAGAUGUGGAGGAACACCGAUGGCGAAGGCAGCCUUCUGGGCCAACACUGACGCUCAUGCACGAAAGCGUGGGGAGCAAACAGG